rnacentral:lncRNA from 1 species
UGCAACGCAGGAGACUGAACCGGGUCCUUUUGCUACCGAGGCAUUGUUGAGAUAGUUGGCAAAACUGGCGCCAGGUCUGUGGAGUGGAAGGCUCUUCAACCUGUAAAAUGGGAGGGUAGUGCCUACUUCACCAUAGCCGUGGGGAGAAGCCCGUGAAAACUUCCUGAGGGUCACCAGCCACAUUUGAAGCGAGCAGCUACCGGAUUGGAUAGUGCAGCCCUGCCUCCAACACGUUCACCUGACCCACGGGCAACCGAGGUCCAAGGAGGGCGUGGUCUGCCCAAGGUCACUGAGCUGAGUGGGACCAGGACCCAGGUCCCCUGACUCCAUCACAGCUGUUCCGCUCCACUUCACUGCCUGCCCUAUUUUCAUCAGGACAGCAAGCAGCGACCCAAGAAGCAGCAGUUUCAGCAGUGGAGUCAGAAGGCACAGCCUAACAACAUAUUCCUGCUCAGACAGUAA